AUGGCUGAGGGUUCAAGAUCGCAGAAGAAACAUGAGAAAGAGUUGGCGGACGAGUUGUUGGCGCGGCUUACCUUGCAGGAGGAGGAGGAGGAGGAUUUCAUCUGGGAGGAAGAACUGCCGGACAUGAUGGAACCAGCGAAGUGGCUUGCGAUUGCGAGAGUCCACACAUCACGGACGUUUAGUCCAAACGCGCUGUAUGGUGACAUGAGGGCGGCCUGGAACCCUGCAAAACAGGUUGUGUGGAGGAAGGUUGGGGAAAACCUAUUCACAGCGCAGUUUGGAUGCUUAGGGGACUGGAAGAAGGCAAUGAUGGAGGGAUCGUGGCUGUUUAGGGAGCAAGCUAUAAUCAUGGAGGAGUACGACGGAUUCAAAAACCCUGAUACCUUCAAGUUGGACAAGCUGACGGUUUGGGCCCAAAUCCAUCGCCUCUCGGACAAAUUUUUGAUUGAGCCAGCAGUCAAAGGUCUGGCGUCGCGCAUUGGGGAGUUAGAAGAGGUCCAACUAAAGCUCCAGGCGGGUUUUUUUUGGAGAGUUCGUAAGAGUAAAAGUGAAGAUGGACAUUAA
rnacentral:rRNA from 1 species